rnacentral:lncRNA from 1 species
AAAAAAGGACAAGAAAAGUAAGGACACUGCAUCUCUACAUCCGUCCACCUAGCCCAGUAUGGGGAGCACAGAGCUGAGACUGUCGAGUGUCACUUGGAAUGUCACUGGUAGGCUGCUGUCACCUUCUGCUGCCAGCCUGCUCUUGUAAUCAGCCCUCCUCUCUGCCAGGUGAGGAGCAAUUCUGUGACAUCUCUUCCUCCGUCCAUGAACUCUGGAUCAAAGAGUCGCUCUGCCCACUCUGGAGGACAGCGGAUGUUAU